rnacentral:piRNA from 1 species
UGUGAGCCGGGGAUUCUAGUAUGAUGGU